GAUCCAAAUUCAGUAUAUCUAAAAGAAAUUGCAUCAAAUGCAUUUUCAUGUCUCCUUCAUAUAUCACAAAAGGGCACGACGUGGUGAAACCUACCGUCAGCAUCCUUCACUAACAAAUUCGCGACGAAUCACCGUCAAAGACCUCUAAGGCUCUUGGAGAAUCACCGUCAAAGCAUUUCUCUCAACCAUUCCGAAUCACUGUCACUGCGAAUAACCGUCAAAGCAACCACCGUCACUUCCAAUUUUAACAGAAUCACCGUCAAAGACCUCUAAGGCUCUUGGAGAAUCACCGUGAAAGCAUUUCUCUCAACCAUUCCGAAUCACUGUCACUGCGAAUAACCGUCAAAGCAACCACCGUCACUUCCAAUUUUAACAGGAUAUUGAGAGCUUCUGGAAGAAAAAGUGCACCUAGUGUUAGGAAAAAGGUUGGAACUGCUGCCAUGGCUAGAGAUACGUGCUAACCAUAACCACCUUUAAUCUUCUUUGUUCCAUAGUUGAUUAGGUUAGCUAACAAAGCGCCGAUACUGAUGCUUAAUGGGAAACCAUUGUUUAUUUCCGCUUUGUUUUAGGUUUGGUUGCAGUUGCAGGACUGUCUGUUUAGGGAGGUGAAUCAGAUGCUUAGACUGCUUCCAGUUAGGCUUUUUCUUAAUUCAAAUUUUCUUCUAUAUCAGUGUUGGCUCGGGUUGUCCAGCAGUAGCUUUUUAUCAUUGCGAAGGUGCAGUUGCCUCUUCUCCUUAUCAAUGUGGUUGUUGGAAAACCAGUGAUUCAAGGAUGCGAAUUUGAAUUGUCUCUCUUAUGUUCGAAUAUUUAUCAUAGUGCCUGGCUCUAUCGCUUCGAGACUACGUCACUGGUGGCGCUGUGGCAUAUUUUCUUUGAAAUACCAGAGCAAUGUAGUAUUGUGUAUCUGUUGGUAUUUUAGCCAUUUUGUGUCUAAUCCAUUCUGUUUCAAGACGGUUUGCUCUGCUAGAUUCAUUUUUCACUGAUUGUUUCGGUUGGAGCUCUCGAUGGCAGCAGGAACAAAAUUGAGUUGUAGUAGCAAGGAGGCGGAGAUUUAUACAUGUAUCCUAGCAAUGUUGCAAUAUAUAUAGACUGUGAUAUUCGUGUUUUUUGGUGGCUGUAAGUAAUUUAAUCUGUAGAAUUUUAUCAUUACAUGGCAGUGGUGUAGUUUGAAGUUUUAAGUAUUAAGAAUAUUGUGUAGAUUUGCCAACAUGUUUUCCUAAUUUUAUGGAGUUUCCAUGCAAUCCAUGUAACCAAUAUUCUAGGAACCAUGUGUAAGAAUUUUACCAUGUGAUUUAAUCCAAGCUCAUGUAUGGAUGUAUGAUGAAAAUGCACUUCCUUUUAUUAGAUUUUGAAUUAUGAAUGUAUGCCAUGUACUUGAUUUUGUAUGACUUGAAUGGUUAAUGGCAUAUGCAUGGAUUAUGGAUAGAAUUAUUUUAAUUAUUUCUUGUACUAUGUAUCUUUACCAAAUACCAUGUACACUUGCUUGUUUUGACGUGUAGUAUGAAUAAUUCCAUGACAGAACUGUAACAUUGCUCUAUGUUUCUUUGUGAUGUCUUUUUAAAGUUUAGUUUUUUCAACUUUAUCGAGUCUUGUUGCUGUUUGUGGUCAAAGCUUAAUUAUCUUUUUUCAAUUGUAACAUUUAAUUUCAGUAGGUAUUGUUUAAAGUCAUUUAAUUUAAUUUUCUUUUUAUGCUCCAUUUCAAUUAUAAAAUUUCAUUAGAUAAUAUGAAUGCAGUAGGUAUUAAUUCACUUGGAAAAUUUCAUUAAAUAACAUUUCUUGAAAAAUUCAACUGCCAAUUUGUUUAAGUAAAUCAUGUAAUCUUA